UCCUGUGUUACUUGCCUAAUGUGUUGGAAAUUGACCCCAGAUGAGUCCUGAUUUUCGCCUCUCACCAAUUCGUGGUGUUAGGUUUUGACGGGGAAGUGCUGCCCAUUCUCCUUGAUUGCUUCACCCUUUGGCGUCGCGAUCAGGGCCCAUGGGUGGCUACGAGUUCGCUUGGAUGCAAAACUUUCGAAUGGUUCACGGCAUGUUGCUGUAGUUUACCCACCAAGCGUUCAUCGCUCGAUGCGUAAGACGGUUGUGCUCGUCUCGGUCCCCUCUUCCAACUAGUUUGGAUGGGACUCAUGCGGUGCCGGCGUUGCGAAGGAAUGCUACCUGGUUGAUCCUGCCAGUAGUCAUAUGCUUGUCUCAA
rnacentral:misc_RNA from 1 species